AUUGAACGCUGGCGGCAUGCUUUACACAUGCAAGUCGAACGGUAACAGGUUAAGCUGACGAGUGGCGAACGGGUGAGUAAUGCAUCGGAACGUGCCCGAUCGUGGGGGAUAACGCAGCGAAAGCUGCGCUAAUACCGCAUACGAUCUGAGGAUGAAAGCGGGGGACCGUAAGGCCUCGCGCGAUCGGAGCGGCCGAUGUCAGAUUGGGUAGUUGGUGGGGUAAAGGCCAACCAAGCCGACGAUCCGUAGCUGGUCUGAGAGGACGACCAGCAACACUGGGACUGGGACACGGCCCAGACCCCUACGGGAGGCAGCAGUGGGGAAUUUUGGACAAUGGGCGAAAGCCUGAUCCAGCAAUGCCGCGUGCAGGAAGAAGGCCUUCGGGUUGUAAACUGCUUUUGUACGGAGCGAAAAGGUCCUUUCUAAUACAAGGGGCUCAUGACGGUACCGUAAGAAUAAGCACCGGCUAACUACGUGCCAGCCGCCGCAGUAAGAC
rnacentral:rRNA from 1 species